AGGAGGAACAACCACAGUGGUGGUGGCCAGCUCUGGAGCCCUGGAUUCAGCUCCUGCAGUAACUACAGAGCUCACCGUCUGCAGGGGCCUGGAAGCUCCGGGGGCAG
rfam:Canis lupus familiaris chromosome 1, whole genome shotgun sequence.